rnacentral:rRNA from 1 species
UACGGGGGGGGCAAGCGUUGUUCGGAAUUACUGGGCGUAAAGGGCUCGUAGGCGGCCAACUAAGUCGGAUGUGAAAUCCCCAGGCUCAACCUGGGAACUGCAUCCGAUACUGGAUGGCUUGAAUUCGGGAGAGGGAUGCAGAAUUCCAGGUGUAGCGGUGAAAUGCGUAGAUAUCAGGAGGAACACCGGUGGCGAAGGCGGAUCUCUGGGCCUUACCUGACGCUCAGGUGCGAAAGCUAGGGGAGCGAACAGG